rnacentral:rRNA from 1 species
AUUGAACGCUGGCGGCAUGCCUUACACAUGCAAGUCGAACGGUAACAGGCCGCAAGGUGCUGACGAGUGGCGAACGGGUGAGUAAUGCAUCGGAACGUGCCCAGUCGUGGGGGAUAACUGCUCGAAAGAGCAGCUAAUACCGCAUACGACCUGAGGGUGAAAGCGGGGGACCGUAAGGCCUCGCGCGAUUGGAGCGGCCGAUGUCAGAUUAGGUAGUUGGUGAGGUAAAGGCUCACCAAGCCGACGAUCUGUAGCUGGUCUGAGAGGACGACCAGCCACACUGGGACUGAGACACGGCCCAGACUCCUACGGGAGGCAGCAGUGGGGAAUUUUGGACAAUGGACGCAAGUCUGAUCCAGCCAUGCCGCGUGCGGGAA